rnacentral:misc_RNA from 1 species
GAUGAAGAACGUAGCGAAAUGCGAUACUUGGUGUGAAUUGCAGAAUCCCGUGAACCAUCGAGUCUUUGAACGCAAGUUGCGCCCGAAGCCAUCAGGUUGAGGGCACGUCUGCCUGGGCGUCACAUAUCGUUGCCCAAUGCCUAUUGCAGUGCAAUAGGAAUUUCUAGGGCGAAUGAUGGCUUCCCGUGAGCGUUGUUGCCUCGCGGUUGGUUGAAAAUCGAGUCCUUGGUAGGGUGUGCCAUGGUCGAUGGUGGUCGAGUUAGAACGUUACCGAUCAUGUGCAUGCUCCCCAAAAUAUGGCCUCUAUGACCCACACGCGUCUUUUGACGCUCAUGACGAGACCUCAGGUCAGGCGGGGCUACCCGCUGAAUUUAAGCAUAUCAAUAAGCGGAGGA